CAGUAGCCGCGGUAACACGAAGGGGGCUAGCGUUGUUCGGAUUUACUGGGCGUAAAGCGCACGUAGGCGGAUCGAUCAGUCAGGGGUGAAAUCCUGGAGCUCAACUCCAGAACUGCCUUUGAUACUGUCGAUCUCGAGUCCGGAAGAGGUGAGUGGAACUCCUAGUGUAGCGGUGGAAUGCGCAGAUAUCAGGAGGAACACCGAUGGCGAAGGCAGGUCUCUGGGCAUUAACUGACGCUGAGGAGCGAAAGCAUGGGGAGCGAACAGGAUUAGAUACCCCUGUAGUCCCUGUCUCUUAUAA
rnacentral:rRNA from 1 species